rnacentral:rRNA from 1 species
GACGAACGCUGGCGGCGUGCUUAACACAUGCAAGUCGAACGGAAAGGCCCUGCUUUUGUGGGGUGCUCGAGUGGCGAACGGGUGAGUAACACGUGAGUAACCUGCCCUUGACUUUGGGAUAACUUCAGGAAACUGGGGCUAAUACCGGAUAGGAGCUCCUGCUGCAUGGUGGGGGUUGGAAAGUUUCGGCGGUUGGGGAUGGACUCGCGGCUUAUCGGCUUGUUGGUGGGGUAGUGGCUUACCAAGGCUUUGACGGGUAGCCGGCCUGAGAGGGUGACCGGCCACAUUGGGACUGAGAUACGGCCCAGACUCCUACGGGAGGCAGCAGUGGGGAAUAUUGCACAAUGGGCGGAAGCCUGAUGCAGCAACGCCGCGUGCGGGAUGACGGCCCUCGGGUUGUAAACCGCUUUCGCCUGUGACGAAGCGUGAGUGACGGUAAUGGGUAAAGAAGCACCGGCUAACUACGUG